CGAGGAUGGUGCCGGGCUGGCGAAGUGCGCAGGCGUAGGGUGCGGCGAGGCUGUGCGCAGGCGCGGCCGAGAACUCCGCCCCGGAAUUGGGGCGGGGCGGGUUGCGGCUCUGGAAUGUCCGCGGCCUGGCUCCGGCGUGCGCAGGCGCAGUCAGUGGGCGUUCCGGGGGCUCGCGGGGCUUCCUAGUCGCGUCUGAGAGCCGGGGCGUUCUCCCGCGCGCAGCCGCUCCGCCCACGUCCGGACUCCGCCCCGCUGCCGGAGUUGCGCAAUCCGUAGCCGGGGAAGCUCUACGUGGAGACCGGACUGAGUGGAUGCCCAGCCCUGGAGCUGGGGAGCUAGAGGGCGGCAAUCUGAGCAGUGUGCUUGCUUGAGUGCCACAGGCCUCUGCUUGCACCGUGUCGACCCACUCAUCCAUACACACUCAGGACACGGCUGCUCCAGGGGCCCAUUGAGCCUCUCUUAUUGGAGGGAAGCCUGGAAGAGACUGGCCCUGAGCUAACAUCCGUGCCCAUCUUCCUGCUCUUUAUACGUGGGACGCCUGCCACAGCAUGGCUUGCCAGGUGGUGCCAUGUCCGCACCUGGGAUCUGAACCGGUGAACCCUGGACCACCGAAGCGGAACGUGCGAACUUAACCUCUGCGCCACCGGGCGGCCUCAGGUUGAUUAUUUUUAAGAAUCAGAGUCAGAAAGUUUUUCUUGUUACCUCCCCCUUGACUCCCUAAAAGAAUUCAGAUAAAAAACCUGUCUCAGGAAGCGAGCUAUCACCUUGGCAUCACAUGAACUGGGUGAUAGACAGCGAGGAACCUAGAAAAGCCUGUUUGUUGGGCUCCCCUCUGUGUUCUUCUCUUUCUGUGUGGCCAAACGUUUGCUCCUCUUCACUACCUGUGAGUUGCCUUCGUUCCCGUUGGAGUCCCUGACUCUCCCCACC
rnacentral:lncRNA from 1 species